rnacentral:rRNA from 1 species
UACGAAGGGGGCUAGCGUUGUUCGGAAUUACUGGGCGUAAAGCGUGCGCAGGCGGUGAUGUAAGACAGGUGUGAAAUCCCCGGGCUUAACCUGGGAACUGCAUUUGUGACUGCAUCGCUGGAGUGCGGCAGAGGGGGAUGGAAUUCCGCAUGUAGCAGUGAAAUGCGUAGAUAUGCGGAGGAACACCGAUGGCGAAGGCAAUCCCCUGGGCCUGCACUGACGCUCAUGCACGAAAGCGUGGGGAGCAAACAGG